AUCGCUUCUCAGCCUUUUGGCUAAGAUCAAGUGUAGUAUCUGUUCUUAUCAGUUUAAUAUCUGAUACGUCCUCUAUCUGAGGACAAUAUAUUAAAUGUAUUUUUGAAGCUAGGAGUUGGAAUAGGAGCUUGCUCCAUCCACUUCACACAUCGACCCGGUAUUGCAGUACCUCCGGGAACGGUGCACACACA
ensembl:snRNA U2 U2 spliceosomal RNA